GUGGGGAAUAUUGGACAAUGGGCGCAAGCCUGAUCCAGCCAUGCCGCGUGAGUGAUGAAGGCCCUAGGGUUGUAAAGCUCUUUCACCGAUGAAGAUAAUGACGGUAGUCGGAGAAGAAGCCCCGGCUAACUUCGUGCCAGCAGCCGCGGUAAUACGAAGGGGGCUAGCGUUGUUCGGAAUUACUGGGCGUAAAGCGCACGUAGGCGGAUAUUUAAGUCAGGGGUGAAAUCCCAGAGCUCAACUCUGGAACUGCCUUUGAUACUGGGUAUCUCGAGUAUGGAAGAGGUGAGUGGAAUUCCGAGUGUAGAGGUGAAAUUCGUAGAUAUUCGGAGGAACACCAGUGGCGAAGGCGGCUCACUGGUCCGUUACUGACGCUGAGGCGCGAAAGCGUGGGGAGCAAACAGGAUUAGAUACCCUGGUAGUCC
rnacentral:rRNA from 1 species